rnacentral:tRNA from 1 species
GGCGUUAUAGCAAAGUGGUUAUGCGAGGUACUGUUAAUACUUUAAACAGAGGUUCGAAUCCUCUUAAUGCCU